UUCGUGAUAAUCAUAUAAGGCCCUUGGCAACGCAAUCCCUAAUACAUUUUUUCCAUUUCAAACAUUACUUGUCCUUCGAACUGCCCCGCCCUUAGCAAAUAACAAUGCCCAUGUCAUAUUUGUGGUUUUACUUUCGAUUUACCUUUAACAUAAUCGAAACCCAGAAAUCCAAUAGGCGAAGGCAUAAACGCAGUGUCCAGAGGACUACUGGGUGAAAUGUCACACUUGCUUCCGAUGGAGGAAGCUCCCAGAAGGGAUUGAUUCCCAGCUGCUCCCUGAGAAGUGGUCCUGUCACUUAAACCCAGACCCACUGUUCAGGUGCCUUUGGAGUCUGCUAUUGGUGACUGCGUGAGAAACAAAGAGUGGAGCUGCACCAUAGAGGAAGAGGGUGUGCCGCGAUUCCAGAAAACCCACAGGGAACGUGGCGAGUUGCAGGAGAGAAGACAACAGG